UACGAAGGGGGCUAGCGUUGCUCGGAAUCACUGGGCGUAAAGCGCACGUAGGCGGAUUGCUAAGUCAGGGGUGAAAUCCUGGAGCUCAACUCCAGAACUGCCUUUGAUACUGGCGAUCUCGAGUCCGGGAGAGGUGAGUGGAACUGCGAGUGUAGAGGUGAAAUUCGUAGAUAUUCGCAAGAACACCAGUGGCGAAGGCGGCUCACUGGCCCGGUACUGACGCUGAGGUGCGGAAAGCGUGGGGAGCAACAGGG
rnacentral:rRNA from 1 species